CGUGUUGGGCUCAUUGUCGAUCAUGUCGAUCACGAAGGCUCCUGCAGUUCAAACUUGCACAUGUUUGUAAUUCUUUUCUUUGUGUGGGUUCACGUCAACAUCAUUUCGAGGGGCACACGUGCAGAUAGAUUGGGUUAGAGGCCCUUGCCCUUCCUCCUUUCCGUUCCCCUAAACAACGUGUCGCCAGUCAAGGCAGGUGGAUCGCUCGUCUACCCAAGGAUGACUUCUUCCCAUGCUCACAUCGAGACAGUGCAAGGACAAGCAUGUUAGGAGCUUCACUUGCGUUCGCACAGCUCCUGGUUUCCGUGAUCUAUCUUGUUCCUGCUAAGGCUUUAAAAUACCCCGUAAGCGUGGAAGUUAGUUACGGGAGCUGCGUAUACUUGAAGACAUCUAUUCCUGACGGUCAAACGCAGCAGAUGUUGAGGAACCAGUGCGCCCUGGCCACGUGCAACGCCACCUUGUCGUAUGUGGAGAUUGAAACAUGCGACAAGCCUCCAGAGGGAUGCUUCAAUCCCUCCUCUGGAUUCUACCCUGCUUGCUGUGCUACACCGAUAUGCAAGACAAGUUAAGCGCGAGGGAAGCCCCGACUGCGUAUGCAAUACACUAAAUGUACGGACUAUACGCCAGCAUCCAUUUCGUUCUACAAUCAGAAUAAAUUACCUUUUACGGUAAACAGCAUAGGUAUA